GGUCCAAUAGUAUAACUGGAUAGUACUCCCGCCUCCUAAGCGGAUGAUCCCGGUUCGAACCCGGGUUGGACCA
rfam:Lactobacillus vaccinostercus DSM 20634 NODE_42, whole genome shotgun sequence.